AUUGAACGCUGGCGGCAUGCCUUACACAUGCAAGUCGAACGGUAGAGUAGCAAUACUCGAGAGUGGCGAACGGGUGAGUAAUGUAUCGGAACGUGCCCAAUUGUGGGGGAUAACGUAGAGAAAUUUACGCUAAUACCGCAUACGAUCUAAGGAUGAAAGCGGGGGAUCGCAAGACCUCGCGCAAUUGGAGCGGCUGAUAUCAGAUUAGGUUGUUGGUGAGGUAAAAGCUCACCAAGCCGACGAUCUGUAGCUGGUUUGAGAGAACGACCAGCCACACUGGGACUGAGACACGGCCCAGACUCCUACGGGAGGCAGCAGUGGGGAAUUUUGGACAAUGGGCGCAAGCCUGAUCCAGCAAUGCCGCGUGCAGGAAGAAGGCCUUCGGGUUGUAAACUGCUUUUGUACGGAACGAAACGGUCCUUUCUAAUACAAGGGGCUAAUGACGGUACCGUAAGAAUAAGCACCGGCUAACUACGUG
rnacentral:rRNA from 1 species